AUUCUAUAAGAGGAAACAAGAGAAAUCUUACUUCCUCGGCAGCAAGCGAAGGUGCCUUUGGUACCCGUGGCGUCGUCCCCCCGGCGACGCCACGAUCUUUUUUU
rnacentral:ncRNA from 21 species